AGGGAAGCGACGGGGCGGUGGUCGGAGAAGCGGGACUCGCGGCGCUCGUACCACGCCUGCUCCAUCCCUUCCCCGCGCCACAGGAUGCGGUCGCACCUGCAAACCCAAUCCAAUCCAAUCAGACUCAUUUUAUUCCGACCAAUUUCCAAUCAGUAUUGCACUAGUACGUGUGUGCAAAAUAUUGCAUGCAUGCUUAGAUUAAGUUGAAGGGAUUGGCAGUACGUAGACCGAUCACGCUAUAGCCAGCUAGAUUAAUACUAUUUCAGUUAAUGUUUGUUAAUUCGUUAAUUGCCCCGAUUGACAAGGACUCUGCCGGUGACCAUGGACUCUUCUCUAGUGAGUGAUGUUGUUGUUGCGGUAGCAGUACUAGCUAGUGCUACUGCUAGCUAGCAUCACUAGUUAACUCUGAUCGAGCUAAUCAGGCGCAGAGCAUCCAUCAUGUCACGUGCGGUCCUGCCUUGCAAGUUAAUUAACCUCUGAUUUUUUUUCCCUGACUAGUGUCGUCUCUGUGGCCAUGGCCGGCUCGAACCAUCCAUCGGUCGAUCCACAGGGUAAACUGAACCCAGAGUUUAAUUACCAUGCCGGUGUGCGCUUCUUCUUCUCCCUCGACGACGACGACUUGCCGGAACCAGAGGAGGAAGAAGAGUUCAUCGUCAUGGCGUAGGUGUCGGAGUCGGCAAGCGCCCGCCACUCGUUCCGCUCCAGCAACCCCCGCAUGUCGCCGCCGGACGUCGAGAGCCGGUAAUUCAGGUCGCCCAGCCACACCACCUUGCUGCAAUUGACAUCCAUUCGUUCAGUCAAGAGGAAUGCCCAA